UAUGCGUAACUCUUUUCGUCCACAGAACACCAGAUUCAGCCAGCUUCGGCCACCUCUCUCAACUCAGAAACCUAUCUCUUUCCCUCCUAUUCAUAGUGCUGUCCCUCCCUGCCGUCCUAACCUACAGGUUUCCCCACCCAAAUCUGGUUCUAUUCCUUCCAAAACGUCCAGCCCCCGCUCUUUUUUUCUCGCUCCUGUUCCCCGUUAUUCCAAUUCCUUCAUUGCUCCUACUCCCCCUUCCAGCCAUUCAGAGACUUGAGAGUCUUAUCCUCCCCAACAUUUCCAGCCAACUCCAACCAGACCUCCGUGAUUCACAAAUCCUAUCCUGGAGAGAUGAUUUCCCUGUGAGUGGGACGGUUCUGCUAUCAUCCAGAAUUGCCAGAACAAUCGAUCCCCAGGAGCUUGACUUGGUGAAUGUUGGGAACUCAAGACAAUGCCAAUCAACAUUUAGCUUGGAGGCCGGCCUGAAUGAAUUCUACCUUUAUAACUGGUUUCUCCAUGGAAUUUGGUCUGUGGCCACAGAGCAAACAGCAAGACGAGGGACACAAGGUAGAGAAGAGUGA
rnacentral:lncRNA from 12 species